rnacentral:misc_RNA from 1 species
GUGAAUCAUCGAAUCUUUGAACGCACAUUGCGCCUUAGGCUUUGGCCAAGGGCAUGUCUGCCUCAGCAUCGGGUUAAUAUCGCUCCCCUAUACCCAUUCGGGUAAAGAGAGGCGGAUCUGGCUGUUCCAGCUAUGCAGUCCGAAUCGCAUUCGUGUGAUUCGGGCAUCUAUGCACCUGGAUCAGCUGAAGACCAGAGGCUAACCAAGGACCCGUUAAGGGCCGCAACUGGGUGGGCUGUCAAAGGCUAUAUUCUUAGUUGUUGGUCUGGGACUUUGUGUUCGGCCCUCAAACAGGAACCU